rnacentral:rRNA from 1 species
ACGGCUAUCUUGUUACGACUUCACCCUAAUUACCAGUCCUACCUUCGGCCGCGCCCUCCUUGCGGUUCGGCUACGGACUUCGGGUAUUACCGGCUCUCAUGGUGUGACGGGCGGUGUGUACAAGGCCCGGGAACGUAUUCACCGCGGCAUGCUGAUCCGCGAUUACUAGCAAUUCCGACUUCAUGCAGGCGGGUUGCAGCCUGCAAUCUGAACUGGGACAGCUUUUAGGGGUUUGCUCCAUGUCACCAUAUUGCUUCCCUCUGUAUGACUGCCAUUGUAGUACGUGUGUAGCCCAGGUCAUAAGGGGCAUGAUGAUUUGACGUCGUCCCCACCUUCCUCCGUUUUGUCAACGGCAGUCCGGCUAGAGUGAUCAACUCAAUGUAUCAACUAACCGUAAGGGUUGCGCUCGUUGCGGGACUUAACCCAACAUCUCACGACACGAGCUGACGACAACCAUGCACCACCUGUCACCGAUGCCCCGAAGGGAAACCCUAUCUCUAGGGCGGUCAUCGGGAUG